rnacentral:rRNA from 1 species
AUGGGGGAUAAAGAAAAGGAUCGUUUAAGGCUGAGAACUACGAUUGCGGUUGUAAAGUGGCUCACAUUUCAGUCUUGUGCUUUAAGAGGCCAUGAUGAGAGGCCGGAAUCAAGAAACAGAGGUAACUUUCUUGAGAUGUUGAAGCUUCUUGCAGACUUCUGCCCUGAUGUUCAAGCUGUAGUUCUUAGGAAUGCUCCACAAGUUUGCAAAUACACAUCACACGAAAUUCAAAAUGAGAUCUUGAGCAUUUAUGCUAUGAAAGUCAGGGAGCAUAUUCGAGCAGAAAUUGGGGACUCAAAGUACUCUAUUCUUGUGGAUGAGACAUGUGAUGUGUCCAAAAGAGAGCAAAUGGCACUAGUUUUCAGAUUUGUUGAUAAAGAUGGUUAUUCACAAGAAAGAUUCUUUCAUCUC